AGCGCAUGCAGCGUGACCCUCUCUGACUUCCCAGGUUAUCUUCUGAACUCCCCACCAUGGCAGCGUCCCCUCUCCCGUCGCUGCUUUCUCUCAAGUUCACUUCAUCGGCUUCCGGCCCACGAGAACAAACCGAACGGAAACAGGAAUUGAGGUGAGCAGAAGUUGAGGGUGGUGGUGAAGCCGCCGGAGAUACCAAAGCUAGUGCUGCUGCGGUUCACAUGAACGGAGAAGAACACGGAGCUCGCGCCGGAACAGGUGAUCCCGGGCGGCCAAGGUGCCAUUCCCACUGAUCCCCUACUACUUCUGGCGCCGCAGGGACCCGAGGAAGGAGCUCAAAGUCCAAGAUCACCGAUCGACAGUCAACCUCUGGCAGUAGAGCGGCAGCAACAUGUAGAUCCCUCUUCCUCUCGUCCCAUACCUUCAAGAAUCUUAAUGUGCUCUUGCUUCAGAAAAGAUUAUUGCACUAGAUUUGUAGUGUAUGAGAUAUGGGUUUGUACUGCCUUCAA